UGACAACAAAGCAAAUUAGAAUUUCCCUUCCAAAAACAGAUAAAAAAAAGCUGUAGUUAUUAUAAAAAUAAAAAAAGAAAAAAGAAAAAAGAAAAAUACGUAUUUAGGUCUGAAAUUUCCCAUCCAACCCUUUACCAACGUAUCGGUACUUUCCCAUUGAUUCCACCGCCUUAACGAUUACUAAAUCAAACACGUAAAUUAAUCUUAGCCGUUGAUCGUUUCCGGCACUUCUCAAUCCUGGCCGUCCAUUUCAUCUGUUUCUCCUUUAAAACGAUAAGAAUCCCAUCUGUUUUUCCAUCUUUCUCCAUUGGAAACCCUAUCUUUCCAAGCUUCUUUGAUUUAAUUUUUCGCAGAUCUAGCUCCGUCUUCUUCUCUGUCGACGUUUUGAAGUUCGUAGAUCGAUAGAUCUGGUGUAGAUCUACACGUUGAUCGUGUUUUCUUGUCUAUUCGGUCUAUGUUGAUAGGUUGCGGUUGUUUAUUCCGAUUCAAACCAGUUCAACAUCGUCUGAUUUAUCUUUUCCGUUCCUCUUCUGACUGCGGUUCUCGGUUGUUUUAUGGUCGUAGAUCGAAGAUCUGCACGGUGAUUGCGGUUUCUUUCCGAUCUAGCCUCUGGUGACGGAUUUUGGUCAUUUCUUUUGUUGUUCUGACAGGUUCAACACCAGAUCUGACUACUCUUCUUAUUGGAUCAUGUUCUGACGACGAUUUUUUGGAUUGUUAUAUUGUUCUUUAUCUUUAUUCAUGGUGCUACAUCCAUUUCUACGACGAUUGAGGAAGUAUCGUUCUAGUACGGAUAAAUUCGGGUUUGUUUCUUGAUAUUGGUUAUUUGCUUAAUUAUUAUGCAACGAAAGGCGUCUCGAUCUGUUCGAACAGGUUUGGAAUCAGAUCGGUGGUGGAUGCUAGUGGAGGCGAUUACGCGUGGCGUUUAUGCUGGAGAUGAAGCGGCUCGGUGCUGUAGAUGUAGCGGAUUUCAUCUGGAACUUGUCCGUUGGUUAGAUGUAGCAGAUAUGUGGACAAACAUUCGAUGGAAGCUGUAUCAUCUUGUAUCAUAGUUAUGAAAGCAUGGGAAAGAGUAGAUGAGUGAUUGUGGAUGUAAAAGAUAUCGGGAUUUAUCCUCUUUUUUUGAGGUGGAUGAAUUCUGGUAGCUCUUUGUCAUCCGGCCUUUGCCAUGACAGGUGCGCUUGCAUGGCAGGUCAUUCAUAAUAAAAAAAUAGUAUGUUUUGGUUUUGAGGGGAGAUUGCACGGGGAUUGCCCGGGGUCUCCCCUCACUGUGGUCUGUUUUCCUUCUUGCUCUCUUUCUCUCGUGCAACUUCAACCGACAGAAUCACUUCUAUGGUCAUAGCGUUUGACCUGAUCAAACCCGCGACACACAAAGGUACUCGACUUUUCAUUUCAGGCUCGUAAGAAAAAAAAAGCAAUCCUACAAUUUAAAUUCGUUAAGCAAAAAAGCCGUUAUGGAGAGAAAAAAAAGAAGAUUCUAGUUCGAAUAGUUCGUACUUAUCAUCAUAUUACUGAACUCUCAAGUUUAUCAUUAACAGAAACGUUUUCGGUCCUAGUAUCGUUUUUCGAACUUGUUUUAAAUCAGUAGUAAUGGUAACUUUUGGGAAUUUUCGAAUGACAGUUUUUGCAAUAUGAGGAGUACAUGUCAUUUCUACAAUCUUAGCAAAGGUAAAGUAAAAGUUUACAUGCAACAAUUUAUACAUUGUGAACUGUAGCGCACCCCGCCAUAUUCAUAUUAUGUUUAAUUUAAGUAAUUAUUUACGAUACUUUUUUACAGAACUUCAUAAUAUUGCUCUAUAUUUUUUCCCUACCAAUAAAACGUACUUGAUUAACAGUAUAUUCAAUCUUAAUCAUUUAUUCCUCUAUUCUGCACUAUAUAAUUGAAGGCUUCUCAACUAGUAUAGGUGGUAGCGAUCUCUCUUUUGUAUCGUUUUGAUAUGUGAUACUAUGUACCGUCUGUUAAUAUCAUUUAUAUGUACUAUCCAACUUGGUGGGGGUUAUAUACUUGGUUCAUGUAUUCGUAUUCCCGGCUAUGUCGUUGUUAGUAGAUUGUGUGGAAGACAACUUCUAAUGCCGGCAACGUAGAGUAACCCAUGCCUUGCAACGGCGACAGCAAGAGAUGGAGACCACGGUUGGUGGGGGCAAUUUAAGCGGCUCGGCUUGGGAAGAAGCUAUGAUCUUAUGGUAUUUUACUAUAUUUUUUGCUUACUUUGGAUUCCUUCCACGCACUGCUAUAUUGUUUUGCCUUCGUGUUUUGAGAUAUCUUGUUGUGUACUUCUAUUUCUAAGUGUUGAAGAAACAGUCCUAGGUUUUGUUUGGAAUUUCCUUUUGAAGCUUUGAUCAAUUGGUAUGAAGUCACGUUACAGUGUUGGUAAUAAUUGUGCGAAGUAUCUUUUUUCAAGAGAGCCUCGUCUUGUAACAGUCUUAUGGUUUACCAGUUUCAAUAUCUCUUUUUUUUUUUUACAUAGAACUAAUUCAGAAUCAUUCCCUGGAAGAUUUAUACAUGAUGGAAAUUUGUCAGAAUUUGUAGUUUGAAUUAUAUUCUCACGUUGCGAGUCUUAACUAAUUUUGCUAUGAAGAGGAGCUCUGGAAUUUCUUGUAUUUCUAAUUGUGAGGGAUUUAUUCUUUCCGUUUCCUUUUAUUGUUUCGUGUUCAUGAUUGAAGGUGCUCUCUCGUGGUUAUAACAUAAUUUCAUGAUACUAUAAUUUUGAUAUGUUGGAACAAGUUCUAACACAUUAUGAUUGUUAAUGGCUAGUCUUGUUCACUCGGUCAUCGUUUUUCGCCUUCGGUUUUUCCUAUUGUACUUUGUGAACAUAAGACCCAAAUGUGUUUGGAGAGGGAGAUGUGUACAGUUUUCAUUUAUUUCACGAAUUAUCUUCUUUUGUAUUAGUUGAUAUUUCUACCUUGAACGGUCAACUUUUUACCAUAAGACUAAUUUGUUCUGUUUUCCGAUGAUAAACUACUGUUUAUGAGGUGGUCCCAAAUGGGUCCACACAAAAAUAAAAUUUGAUUGCCAUAAAAAUUGAAAUUUGUUUCCUAUCUUUAAAGUAGAAUGUAUUUUGAUAAUGUUAUUUCUAGUGAUAUUUUUAAUUAGGAGAAUUGUCAAAUUCUGUAUUUUAACAUGUUAUAUCUAGUGAUAUUUUUAUUUAGAAGUGUUAGAAAUUCUAAAUUUGAUUAAAUUUUUACAAUAUAUAUGGUAAAACUUCUGAAUUCUCUCUAUAGUGAUAUUUUUAAUCAGGGGAAUUGUCAAAAAUUAUAAAUUUGAUCAAAUAUCUACAAGUCGUAUGGUAAAAUUUCAGAAUUCUCUCUAUGGUUGUUGAAGUCCUAUCGGAUCCAAUAAUUUUCCUGUAAAGGUUUUGAUGUAUUUGUCUACUUCAAAAAUGUUUCUUUUUUAAGAAUAACAAGAAAAUUUAUUUACAGUCUAUUGAAAAAAUCACUAAAUGCAAAAUAUUUAUCGCAUUAUAUGUUUACAGUAUUGAAAAACCCACUAAAUAUAAAAUAUUUGUCGCACACUUUUUCCAUGCUGUGUGUUUUUUUAAAUAAAAUUUUCUAUUUUUGACCAAUUCUAAACCUCCUUGUAUUGUUAAACCCAAUAGGAUUUUAACAGUUCCCAAUCAUAAUUUCCCAACCGUUCUGUUGUCUGAAUUUUAUUAAUAGAUCUGUAAGCUCAGACAGGCAGAGCGCUCAAUUUCUUCGGAAAUAUGAGAGGCUGAUGGUUCGAAUCCGUCCAGAUCUGAAUUUUUUAUGUAGUAUAAUUUGUUGGAAUAUAGUUAUUUAUUAAAACGGCAAGUAUAGCGUAGACCAUCAUCAACUUGAUGGCCCUUUUAUAUUGAUUGGUAUUUUCUUAAAAUAUUCCGAUGCCAUUCUAAUUAACUUUAGUUAUUUUUACCAUCGAUUAGUUUUUAUUUUAAGUAUUAUCCUUUAUUUCUGCCCUCUCUUUUGAUCUUUGGAUUUGAAUCCCCUGCCGAAACCGACCAUGAAGGGCGGUCCACUGACGGGCCUGAUCAAGGAGGGCGGUCCACUGAUCGAACGGUUCUGUAAUUCAAAAUUGAAGGGUGGUCCACUGAUUGAACGGUCCACUGAUCGACUCUCUAGAAUGAUGUUCUUUUAUUUAUUUAUCUUUAAAUAUUCCAAUACGAGUAGCUUAUAAGAAUCACUGUAUGUAUCUUAACAUAAUUUUUAUUUAUAUAUUAAAGAACUCGUAUAAGAAUCCUUUCUUUUCUCACUAUUGUUUAGUCUUUUUUUUAUUUUAUUAUUGUUGUUCUCAUAACAGUUAAUUCAUUAGAUUUAGAAGAUUAUUAGAUUUAGAAGAUGGAGAACUUUCUCACAAAAUUUUGGAAACUAAUUUAAAAUAUAUAUAUUUAAUUAAGAUUUCAGAUUUAGUUAAUAAAAUCUGAAAUUUAAAUGGGGAGAAUUAUAUUUAUAUUCCAAAAGAAAUUUGUGGAAAGUCGGUUAUUCGAAUUUUAAAAAAUAAUAAAAGAUAACGGAGCGAUAAUAUUUAAAAUGUUUAUAUCUUUUAUUCGGAAUAUAACGUCUCCAAAUAUCGUGUUCAAAUUGGUCUUUUCCUUCCCUUUCGGAUAAAGUAAUGGCCGUGAUGACACGACGAAGCUUCCCUUCUAAAUUAAGCCAACAAAUUAUCGCAUUUAUUCCUUACGUUUUAGCGAUGAUAAUUGAUCCACGUCGUUCUCUCUCUACCGUUGAUCUUUCUAACAAACUUUUAUCUUGGCCGUCUAUCCCGUACCUUCCCUCCAUAAAAGGACAACGCCUCCUCCAUUCUCUUUGCAUCGGCGCGGACUUCGUUAGGGUUCCUAAUCUUGGAUUCGUGUUUAUGAUCGGGGGUCAACGGAGAUCUUGUUGAUUUCUGUUCAACGUAGCCAGAGAAUGGAUCUGCGGACGUCUGAGGCCGAUGAUCGUUCCUAUAGCUAUUUUGUUGGGCGAGUUUGGCUGGUGGAGCCUGUCUGAUGAUCCAGAUCUGCCAGGAGGAAACGAUAUGAAGUCGGAUCUUGGAUCUCUUCCAUUCUGAUCUCCUUCUGGAGCCGUUGUCGCUUGUUAUCGUCGACUUGUUUGAUAUCUAUACAAUCAUGAGUUUGUUUAUCGUUGUGGAAGAUGCGAUUAAAGAGUCUGAUGAGACCUUUUUCGUAUUCGAUUGAAGCAUAAACUCUGUAUUUUAAUAUAGAGCGCAUCGGAAAGGAUUAGAUUAGUGUUGCUCUGGAUGUGAAAGGUAUCGGGAGGACUUCCUCUUUGUGGGGGAUGAAUCUUUAUGUUUCUUUGUCAUCCGACCUUUGCCAUGACAGGUGCGCUUGCAUGGCAGGUCAUCGAAAAAAAAUAAAAUAGCAUCGUUUUUGUUUUGAGGAAGAAGCCGCACGGGGUUUGCCCGGGGUUUCUUCCUCGCUGCUGUGUGUUUUCUUCUCGUUCUCUCUUACUCUCAGUUCGUCUAUCUUCAACCGCCAUCAACUGCUUCUUGGAUUUCUCUGAUUUCGCGCCGUUUAAGCCGAGGUAAUUCCUGACGAUUUUCUUGCAUGAUUAAACAACCACACGAGAAAGAUAAUUUAUUCUCACAUCUGCAUCAAUACUUAAACAAUCAUCUGCAUCGAUUCUUAAGUAUUCUGGUUAUUUAUCUCCACAAUUUCAUAUGUUUUCUUAUCGAAAUAACAAACACAACUAUCGUCCUGUUUUCUUAUCAACACGUAUCGUUUCGAAUUAUCUGUUUUCAUUUCAAAGAUUUUAGGCCUGGUGCCGAAAUUAUUUCAAAAGUUUCCCAAAUUGUUUAUUGAACUCUUUCGACAGUGAUUUUGAUGUGCAAGAUCAUUUUGCCUCAUAGAUUCUCUUUAAUAAUAUAUUCAUAACGAUGCACAUUUGUAUUUUUCUCUUCCUCAAAUUAUAUGUUCCUUCAGAUAACAUUGCACGUCAUCUUGAUAUUUUAAAGCUUAAAAGUAAUAAGUACAAGAAUAUUGUAGUGAGUUAAAAUAUAUAAUCUAAUAGCGAUUCUAAGUAAUAUAUUAUUUAAAUCACCGUUCGUGGGUGCGUCCAUUCGCGACUACUUACUAGACAAUACGACUCUUCUACCCAAAUCGACAUAUAGCUUUCAAUUUGGCGCAUUUGACUUUCCUAUUCUUUUUCUUGCCAAGUAUGGAGAACUUUCUUGAGAACAAUUUGAUGUAAAAGAUUUGGUUUGUACUUCAGAUGUUCCAGUGGUGUGGAAGUCCUGUAAGAUUUUUCAGUAUAGUAGUAAGUUUGAAUUUGUAUUCGUCUGUAGUUUAGCUUUGCUAGAUCUUUGUUAUUAGAUGGGGGAGACAUCGGCACUGCAUGCUCGCUACCCAAGGUUAGAUGCGGAUAUACAAGCUACUCGGCGGUGGGGAAAGUUUAUUGCUCGCGGGUGAAUGGAAGAUAGAAUCUGGAACAAGCUUCAACUGGUUUCUGACUGUCUUUGAUUAAUGAAAGGUCUUAUAUUAUUUCUGUUCUUUACGUGCUUUUGAAUUCAGCAAUUUUUCACUAAUUCCAAGUAUCUCUAAUGAAAUACUAGAAAUUUAUUAGUAUGAUUACGUGGUUGGACCAAUUCCCUGUUUAAGUAGGGAAGAGGUACACUGGUGCCAGUUUUCUUUACUGAUUUGUCCUACCGAGGAAUACUGUGUUUUGCUACUCCAUAUUCUAUAGAAGUCCCUUUUUUUUUUUUGAAA